rnacentral:rRNA from 1 species
AUUGAACGCUGGCGGCAUGCUUUACACAUGCAAGUCGAACGGUAACAGGCCUUCGGGUGCUGACGAGUGGCGAACGGGGGAGUAAUGCAUCGGAACGUACCCAGAGGUGGGGGAUAACGCAGCGAGAGCUGUGCUAAUACCGCAUGUGAUCUGAGGAUGAAAGCGGGGGACCGAGCAGCAAUGUUUGGCCUCGCGCCUUUGGAGCGGCCGAUGUCGGAUUAGCUAGUUGGUGGGGUAAAGGCCUACCAAGGCGACGAUCCGUAGCUGGUCUGAGAGGACGACCAGCCACACUGGGACUGAGACACGGCCCAGACUCCUACGGGAGGCAGCAGUGGGGAAUUUUGGACAAUGGGCGCAAGCCUGAUCCAGCACUGCCGCGUGCGGGAAGAAGGCCUUCGGGUUGUAAACCGCUUUUGGCAGGAACGAAACGGUGUCCGCUAAUACCGGGCGCUAAUGACGGUACCUGCAGAAUAAGCACCGGCUAACUACGUG